UACGGAGGUGGCAAGCGUUGCUCGGAAUCACUGGGCGUAAAGGGCGCGUAGGCGGGGAGGUAAGUCGGGUGUGAAAUCCCUCGGCCCAACCGAGGAACUGCGCCCGAGACUGCUUCUCUUGAGUCCCGGAGAGGAAGAUGGAAUUCCCGGUGUAGCGGUGAAAUGUGUAGAGAUCGGGAGGAACACCGGUGGCGAAGGCGGUCUUCUGGACGGUGACUGACGCUGAGACGCGAAAGCGUGGGGAGCAAACAGG
rnacentral:rRNA from 1 species